rnacentral:rRNA from 1 species
GACGAACGCUGGCGGCGUGCUUAACACAUGCAAGUCGAACGGAAAGGCCCUGCUUGCAGGGUACUCGAGUGGCGAACGGGUGAGUAACACGUGGGUGAUCUGCCCUGCACUUCGGGAUAAGCUUGGGAAACUGGGUCUAAUACCUGAUAGGAGCCAUCUUGAGUGUGGUGGUUGGAAAGUUUUUUCGGUGUAGGAUGAGCUCGCGGCCUAUCAGCUUGUUGGUGGGGUAAUGGCCUACCAAGGCGGCGACGGGUAGCCGGCCUGAGAGGGUGUACGGCCACAUUGGGACUGAGAUACGGCCCAGACUCCUACGGGAGGCAGCAGUGGGGAAUAUUGCACAAUGGACGCAAGCCUGAUGCAGCGACGCCGCGUGGGGGAUGAAGGCCUUCGGGUUGUAAACUCCUUUCGCUAGGGACGAAGCUUUUUUGUGACGGUACCUAGAUAAGAAGCACCGGCUAACUACGUG